GACGAACGCUGGCGGCGUGCCUAAUACAUGCAAGUAGAACGCUGAAGGAGGAGCUUGCUUCUCCGGAUGAGUUGCGAACGGGUGAGUAACGCGUAGGUAACCUGCCUGGUAGCGGGGGAUAACUAUUGGAAACGAUAGCUAAUACCGCAUAAGAGUAGAUGUCGCAUGACAUUUGCUUAAAAGGUGCAACUGCACCACUACCAGAUGGACCUGCGUUGUAUUAGCUAGUUGGUGAGGUAACGGCUCACCAAGGCAACGAUACAUAGCCGACCUGAGAGGGUGAUCGGCCACACUGGGACUGAGACACGGCCCAGACUCCUACGGGAGGCAGCAGUAGGGAAUCUUCGGCAAUGGACGGAAGUCUGACCGAGCAACGCCGCGUGAGUGAAGAAGGUUUUCGGAUCGUAAAGCUCUGUUGUAAGAGAAGAACGAGUGUGAGAGUGGAAAGUUCACACUGUGACGGUAUCUUGCCAGAAAGGGACGGCUAACUACGUG
rnacentral:rRNA from 1 species